GCGCCAUAGCAACGCGCCGGCCCUGGCGACGCGGCCUAGUGCCGGCUGCGGCCCGGCCCCCUCCCGGCCCUCCCCGCCCCGGCGGCCGCAGCCCCGGUUCCGUCAGCCCGGGAGGUGCAGGCGAUGGAGGCGGUGGGGUGGCUUGGAGCGUUACCAGACCCUGGUGACAGCGGCACACCACAAAUAAACCCUUCGCCGCUGUGUUCUGAGCCGCGUUUCCCUCAGGGGACUGCCGAGGGGAAAAACCAACCGAGGUUCAAACAAUAAGGGCAGAAUGUACCUUGACAUCACUGACAUCCGUUCUUCUGCAAAGACGCCUGGAACUUUCUCGCAUCCACGGAAAUGCGUUUGGAUUUGCAGACACUUGAUAUUCUGCACAUGGCAACUCAUGGGAUCUGGUACCAAACCCCACGAUGGAGGUAACCAAGGAACAGAUCAACAUCACAAGCUCUCUCUCAUGUGCUUGUCCUCUUCUGGAAGAUCACUUGAACUGCUCCAAAGAACAACUAAGACUUUAACUUUUGCUCUAAGUCAUGCAGUUUGACUAAGCAGCCACAAACAUGGCUGAUCUCUAUAGAGAUCAUCUUUAUU